UCUGGCGGCUAUUGCGUAGGGGAAACACCUCUUCCCAUUCCGAACAGAGUAGUUAAGCUCUACCGCGUCAAUGGUACUGCAUGGGCAACUGUGUGGGAGAGUAGAUCGUCGCCAGAU
rnacentral:rRNA from 2 species